rnacentral:rRNA from 1 species
AUUGAACGCUAGCGGCAUGCCUUACACAUGCAAGUCGAACGGAGUGGCGAACGGGUGAGUAAUGUCUCGGAACGUGCCCAGUAGCGGGGGAUAACUUCGCGAAAGCGUAGCUAAUACCGCAUACUAUUGGAGCGGCCGAGUUCGGAUUAGCUAGUUGGUGGGGUAACGGCCUACCAAGGCGACGAUCCGUAGCUGGUUUGAGAGGACGACCAGCCACACUGGAACUGAGACACGGUCCAGACUCCUACGGGAGGCAGCAGUGGGGAAUAUUGGACAAUGGGCGAAAGCCUGAUGCAGCCAUGCCGCGUGUAUGAAGAAGGCCUUCGGAUUGUAAAGUACUUUAAGUGGGGAGGCGUUACUAACAGAAGAAGCACCGGCUAACUCCGUGCCAGCAGCCGCGGUAAUUC